rnacentral:rRNA from 1 species
UCACUAAAAAGAGAAAUUUUAAAGUUUAACGGAAAUUUAUUUUUAAUGAAAAGUUUAAAAUUUAAUUUUUAGACGAUAAGACCCUAUGAAGCUUUAUUACGAAGUAAUUUUUUUGGGGUAAAAUUUAAUGUUUUUAUUUUUUCAAAGUAAAAUUUUGAUCUUAUAGAAUUUUAUGAAAAAGCUACUCUAGGGAUAACAGCAUAAUUUUUAUUAAAGUUCUUAUUGAAAUAAAAGAUUGUGACCUCGAUGUUGAAUUAAGAAAAAUAAUUUGUGUAGCAGCUAAUUAUUUUUAGUCUGUUCGACUAAGUUUUCUUACAUGAUCUGAGUUCAAACCGGA